rnacentral:misc_RNA from 1 species
UUAAGCAUGCUCUUUUAUUUUGGUAGCCUGUGAGUUAAUCUGACGUGAUCACCUCGUUAUUACUGUGCUGUCACCGACAUGGAAACAUACCAAAGACCUAUGCCACCCCCUCCACCGCCGCCACCGCCUUCGGUAUCAGUUUACAGGCAAAGCGGUGUGGUAAAAGCCCACGAUGUCAAACCACACAAUACAGUUCACGAAGUGCUUGAAAGACAACUCCAUCGCAUAACGGCUGGCACCGAAGAAGCUGCCGUUGUGUCCAGGGUGUUGCCGGUGAGACCCGUUCUUCAAGACGGACCACAAUGUGGGCUAGUAGCACUUAGCAUGGCCUCACAGCUCCUGCAGGAUCAACCAGUGAGUGUCGAGGCUCUUUUCGAAACGGCCAAGUCGCUUCAGUUCACCAAGAAAGGAGAGAUGUUUUCAGUUGAAAACAUGAAGACUCUAGCCGAGGCAUGUCUGCAAGGGACUCGCACUAAAAUUGUGCGCAGCGAGCAUCGAGAAGAUAUCGUCAGACACCUGCUUGAGGGAAAGCCAGUGUUAAUACCGUAUGAUUCUGACGGAAAUUUCGAACCCUGCCUAAAAAAUGGACACACAGCACACUGGGCUGUCCUUCAUGGAAUCUGCCUGGUUCUGCGUGAAUCACCUUGCAUCGAAGACAUGCUGGCAAAUGUUUCAGAGGUGGACUCGAAGUGGCCGAGGAUUUUCUACAUCCACAACAUGAUCCCCAAGGAAGUGUUACUAAAGCUCACCCAGCUAGCCGAGAGCCAGCAGACUGGUGUGUUUGUUUAUGCUAGUCAGGGAAAGAGCAGGCACGUAGGUUUGUGGGAACUCGAGUUGCUGCUGAGAAGUAACGAGAACCUGGCGCAUUUCACACCAAAGCGCGAUAUUUCCGAGUUUGUGAUACCAGAGGGAGGUGUUGCCAGAGGGCUGUCUGGCCAGGUGCUUCUUUUCACAUAGUCCAUGAUGCGGUGAAGUGUUAAGUAAUGUGAGUUAAUGCGAAAUUAUCACAGGGUAAGCUUGUGUGGAUCUCUUUCAAAAAAAGUGACAGUAGAUGUUCGUCAAUGCUUGUAUUCUCAUUUUAUCCGUGUAAUUAUCUUGCGCUAAUGUACUCUAACGAGAAGAGACGAUCGAUAGAGCAACUUCUAGUUGAUCUGUCUUGAGACGUGUGAUAACAGUUUAGUUGUUGGUUAACGCUCGUGUUUUUUAUCGCAUCUGAGUCAUUGUCUUACCCACUAACCCUAUUCACAUGUGUGAAAACCGCUGAGUUGGUUCAACAGAACGUUUGGCAUUUUUUUGCUGGCUACCAGCCAUGUACAGCAGCUAGCCUCUAGCUGACAUUGGCUGGACCAAGGUGUGUACCAUCUUUCGUGCCCUUUGCACUUUCUUCAUUUGGCCUGUGAAGCUUCUCAGGCUUUUAGGAACUCUCACCAAACUGUGUUGACUCUGGUGAGUUUUACAUGCUGGGAUAUUUAUUGUGUGAAUGCCUGGCUCAUGUUAGUGCCUGAAGAAAUUUUUAACCAAAAUGUGUUGUGAAUGAGGCUUGCCUUAAUCAUUGUUUGUGGAAGUACUCAUACCCCACUCCACAGCAUCCUAGGCUGAGCAAAGACUUGCGCUGUCUUUUUGAAAAAUAUCAGUCCAACGGCCUGUCAAGUCGUGUCUUUCUGCAUCUAAUGGUGCUUGCACCACAGUGCUGUGGUGGUGCGUUUCUUGUCUGCAUCGUUAACAUGCGCUGGUUUUUUGUGACCAUUUUUUACCAACAAGACCAUGUUUUCUAUUUAUUGGUAAUGGCCCCUAUGCCAUUACCAGUGCCAGCACUUCCGGUAAAGACAUGCAUUGCGCCAGAGUUAUUGCUAAUGGUUCCGUAUGUAGUAAGUCUACGUGUCACUGUAAUUAAGUUUCUGGAGCCUUUACGUGGCGAUAUAUAGUGCCACUAGAGUUGCUGUAUAUGGCUCCUUAUACAGUAACUCUAGCUGUGCCCAGAGU